UUAAGCAUAUCAAUAAGCGGAGGAAAAGAAACCAACAGGGAUUGCCCUAGUAACGGCGAGUGAAGCGGCAACAGCUCAAAUUUGAAAUCUGGCUCUUUCAGGGUCCGAGUUGUAAUUUGCAGAGGGCGCUUUGGCGUUGGGAGCGGUCCAAGUUCUUUGGAACAGGACGUCACAGAGGGUGAGAAUCCCGUACGUGGUCGCUAUCCUUCGCCGUGUAAAGCCCCUUCGACGAGUCGAGUUGUUUGGGAAUGCAGCUCUAAAUGGGAGGUAAAUUUCUUCUAAAGCUAAAUACUGGCCAGAGACCGAUAGCGCACAAGUAGAGUGAUCGAAAGAUGAAAAGCACUUUGGAAAGAGAGUCAAAUAGCACGUGAAAUUGUUGAAAGGGAAGCGCUUGCAGCCAGACUUGCCUGUAGUUGCUUAUCUGGACUUUUGUCCAGUGCACUCUUCUGCGGGCAGGCCAGCAUCAGUUUGGGCGGUUGGAUAAAGGUCUCUAUCACGUACCUCCUUUCGGGGAGGCCUUAUAGGGGAGACGACAUGCAACCAGCCUGGACUGAGGUCCGCGCAUCUGCUAGGAUGCUGGCGUAAUGGCUGUAAGCGGCCCGUCUUGAAACACGGACCAAGGAGUCUAACAUCUAUGCGAGUGUUUGGGUGUCAAGCCCAGACGCGUAAUGAAAGUGAACGGAGGUGGGAACCUUUUAGGUGCACCAUCGACCGAUCCUGAUGUCUUCGGAAGGAUUUGAGUAAGAGCAUAGCUGUUGGGACCCGAAAGAUGKUGAACUAUGCUUGAAUAGGGUGAAGCCAGAGGAAACUCYGGUGGAGACACACAGCGGUUCUGACGUGCAAAUCGAUCGUCAAAUUUGGCAUAGGGCGAAAGACUAAUC
rnacentral:rRNA from 1 species